rnacentral:rRNA from 1 species
GGACCCGCACAAGCAGCGGAGCAUGUGGUUUAAUUCGAAGCAACGCGAAGAACCUUACCAGGGCUUGACAUCCUUCUGACCGGCGUGUAACGGCGCCUUCCCUUCGGGGCAGAAGUGACAGGUGGUGCAUGGUUGUCGUCAGCUCGUGUCGUGAGAUGUUGGGUUAAGUCCCGCAACGAGCGCAACCCUUGUCUUUAGUUGCCAUCAGGUCAAGCUGGGCACUCUAGAGAGACUGCCGGGGAUAACUCGGAGGAAGGUGGGGAUGACGUCAAAUCAUCAUGCCCCUUAUGUUCUGGGCUACACACGUGCUACAAUGGUCGGUACAACGCGAAGCGAACCCGCGAGGGGGAGCAAAUCAGAAAAACCGGUCCCAGUUCGGAUUGCAGGCUGAAACCCGCCUGCAUGAAGUCGGAGUUGCUAGUAAUCGCGGAUCAGAAUGCCG